CACUCCUGCGGGAGGCAGCAGUGGGGAAUUUUGGACAAUGGGCGAAAGCCUGAUCCAGCAAUGCCGCGUGAGUGAAGAAGGCCUUCGGGUUGUAAAGCUCUUUUGUCAGGGAAGAAACGGUGAGAGCUAAUAUCUUUUGCUAAUGACGGUACCUGAAGAAUAAGCACCGGCUAACUACGUGCCAGCAGCCGCGGUAAUACGUAGGGUGCAAGCGUUAAUCGGAAUUACUGGGCGUAAAGCGUGCGCAGGCGGUUUUGUAAGUCUGAUGUGAAAUCCCCGGGCUCAACCUGGGAAUUGCAUUGGAGACUGCAAGGCUAGAAUCUGGCAGAGGGGGGUAGAAUUCCACGUGUAGCAGUGAAAUGCGUAGAUAUGUGGAGGAACACCGAUGGCGAAGGCAGCCCCCUGGGUCAAGAUUGACGCUCAUGCACGAAAGCGUGGGGAGCAAACAGGAUUAGAUACCCUUGUAGUCCCAUGA
rnacentral:rRNA from 1 species